CCCUGCCAUUUGUACACACCGCCCGUCGCUACUACCGAUUGAAUGGUUUAGUGAGAUCUUUGGACUAAAUAAGAAGAUGAUUAUUCAUUUUCUUUUUUUUAGGAAGCUGAUCUAACUUGAUCAUUUAG
rnacentral:rRNA from 1 species